GGCAGACAGGAGGUGACCCCUUCCCGCCAGCCCCCCAUCCUUGGCACCCUGGUCCCCCUCAGGGGGCCACCCCGCGGCACUCACCGCUCUCGCUCUCGGUAACAUCCGGCCGGGCGCCGUCCUUGAGCACAUAGCCUGGACCGUUUCCGUAUAGGAGGACCGUGUAGGCCUUCCUGUCCCGGGCCUUGCCAGGGGCCAGCCCUGCAGAGAGAGGGGUCCCUGUGGUUGAGCUGAACACAGCUGUGGAGUGUCUCCCACGUGCUAGGCACCGCCACGUUUUGCCUGGUCAGGGGCUUAGUCCUCAGGAGACCCUACAGGGCUGGUGCCAGCAUUACUCCCAUUUGACAGAGGAGGAGACUGAGGCUCAGAUUUCACCCACUUAAUUGCUGCAGCAGCACCUGCCACUCUCCCCAGGCCUACCGAAGAUGGAGCUCCCUCGCAGGGGGUAGCCUCCGAAGGAGAAGACGUGGGAGUGGUCGGCAGUGACGAGGCUCAGCGUGUCCUCCUCGCUGGUGAGCUGGCCCGCCCUCUCAAUGGCGUCGUCGAACAUGAUCGUCUCAGUCAGUGCCCGGGUGUCAGAGGUCAGUAUAUGUGACCAACGUCUGUGACCUGGCCGUGACCCAGCAGCGGGCCCCAGCUCACCUGCUUUCUUGGCCCGAUUCAUCACGGAGAUGACCUCGUUGCCGCGUGUCGUGUUGCACUGGUUAAAGCGGGCGGCUGCACUCAAGCCAAUGGUCUGGAAGUUGCCCUUGACCCCGCACAGGAUCCUGGCAGCUGUCACCGUAGACACCCCCAUCCCUGAAGGAACAGAAAUGUGUGAGGCUUGGGCCCCAGGGCUCUCCUGGAACCACUGAGGGUCCGGGCGCCGGGGCUGUGAGGGCUGCAGGGCUGGAAGGCCUGGCUCACUCACCAUCGCCCAGGAAGAUGAUGAGGUUCUUGGCGGCUGUCUGUGCAGGCUGCAGCUUCUUGGCGGCACCCAGGGCCUCGGCUGCCUCGCGGUUCCAGAAGUCCGGGUUCUCCUCCUCAACUGGCCAGGGGGAGAGCAAAAAUCAGGAAACAGAAGGACCAAGACGACCAAUCCUCUGAGAAUACACGCCACAGCCUGGGCCUCCCCUUGCCCCAGGUAACAGCAACCAAGAAUCCCAGGAAUGGAGGCUUUGGCUCUUCCUCCAGCCGGGGAAGACCUGCUGCUUCUGCUUUGAAAUCCCUGGACCUCAGAGGAAGGGCUGUAACCAGACAUUAUGACAGGCGACUCUGGCAUGAAGAUAUGUCAAACAUUAAAACUGCAGAAAACAGAAAGAUAUGGCCUAAAGAAGAGUUACAGAAUUGAACGCCAAAGUAAUACCACUCAGAUCAAGAAAUUGACUACAGCCAGGAUCUCCCCAUAUGUACCCUGCCCCCCAUUCAAACCCCACUUCUUCCUUCCCCACCAAAGGGAACCAUUGACUUUGUUUUUUGAGACAGAGUCUUGCUCCGUAGCCCAGGAUGGAGUGCAGUGGGGCAAUCACGGCUCACUGCAGCCUUAACCUCCUGGGCCCAAGAGAUUCUUCCACCUCAGCCUCCCGAGUAGUGGGGACUACAGGUGUGUGCCACCUUGCCCAUUUAAUUUUUGCAUUUUUGGUAGAGAUGGGGUUUCACCAUGUUGCCCAGGCUGGUCUGGAAGUCCUGGGCUUAAGCCUCUCCUCCCAAAGUGCUGUGAUUACAGGUGUGAGCCUCCACCCCCAGCACGGCCUAAAUUUUUUGACACUCCUUUUCUUUUAAUAGCUUUUGGCCAGAACAUGCUUACUAGCAACACCUCUUCCCAACCCCUCAUGAAUAAUCAUGUAAGAUUUCCAUAAAGGGAGCCUCCCUAGUGCCAACUUUUGCUGUCUCAUCUUUAUGAGCAGCCUGCCCUGAAUUCUUCUCUCUGCCUAUUCUGCACUUCACUUUCAAGAUGUUCUUUUUCUUUUGCAAAAAUUAUUGUAUGCUGCAUCUCCUUUGCUGUUGUGUCUCUUGUUUAAAUUAUUUUAAGCUAAGAAGACAAGAACCAAAGUCUCACAUCAGCUGCCAACAGUACUCCAGAUUAUUUCAGGUGGUGUGGGUGUCAAGGCAAUUCCAUCUUGGGGCCUGAUCUACCAGGUUGAUGAAUGCCAGUUCUCGGAGGGCCUCUGAGAUUUCCCAUUCAUGUCGUGUUUCUAGUGCGGGAGCACCUACUUCCCAUAAAUCCUGC
rnacentral:lncRNA from 10 species